CAGUCGCCGCGGGAAUACGGAGGGUGCAAGCGUUAAUCGGAAUUACUGGGCGUAAAGCGCACGCAGGCGGUCUGACAAGUCAGAUGUGAAAUCCCGGGCUUAACCUGGGAACUGCAUUUGAAACUGUCAGGCUGGAGUCUUGUAGAGGGGGGUGGAAUUCCAGGUGUAGCGGUGAAAUGCGUAGAGAUCUGGAGGAAUACCGGUGGCGAAGGCGGCCCCCUGGACAAAGACUGACGCUCAGGUGCGAAAGCGUGGGGAGCAAACAGGAUUAGAUACCCGAGUAGUCCCUGUCUCUUAUACC
rnacentral:rRNA from 1 species